AAAAAACAUGCAACGAUGACCAUACCACCUGCACCAGUUAGCAGUCGUGCUGCAGAAAGAUAAAUUCACCUGUCUCCUCCAUGUGUCAGUAACUUCCACGGUUAGACGUGGUGCUUUUAUAUAAUAAUGAUGGGAGUCAGGUAGACAGGGCUGACCCUGUGCCAGGCAUGCUCUGAGCCCUCUGUACACAUUAACUAAGAUGGGCCCAACUGUUAUCUUCACUGUUAUCCUUCCUCUUAGAUGAGGAAACCCGUUCACUUGGCCAGGUUCCACGGCUGUCAGUGGCAGAGUUCAGAUAUAAACCCACUCUCUGCCCACUCGUUACACCUGCCUGAGCUGCAGCGGGGCUCGGGGGCCAUUGUAAAGCAGACACAGCAGACCCCUUUGUCCCCAGACACCUGUGAAACAAACAGUGUUUAGCAGAGGACAGCGUGGCCUCCCCUGGGCCCUAGAGAUGAUUUUCAUAUCUCUGGAAGGCACGGAUGGGUGGGAUAAAAAUUCCUUUGCCAGAAACAUUGCCCAGGAAAGUAUAUUCAGCCCCAAAUCCCAGUCCCAUGGUGGGACUUCAUCCCCUUCACCAAUGACUUAUGACAACCACCUCAGCCAAAAUGCCAUUCCAGAAAACCAGGGGGCAUCUGUCAAGGUGGCCAUCACAGCCAAAAGGAGCCUAAAGAGACACGACGUCUAAACUUCAUGUGGCCUCUGGAUGGGAUCCUAGGACAGCAAAAGGACAUGAGGAAACAUAUAAGGAAAUCUGAGGAAGUAUGGACGUCUGGUUAAUAAAACUGUUAGCAAUAGUGGUUCAUUCAUUAUAACAAAUGAAGCAAACUCAUGGAAGAUGCUGCCAAUAGAGAAACUGAGUGUGGGGCUUAUGGGAGCUCUCUGUACUAGUUUUGCAAUUUUUCUCUAGAUUUAAAUUGGUUUUUAACUUUUAAAAUUAUUUGUAUUUUUUAAGGAGAUGGGGUCUCACUGUGUUGCCCCAGCUACAGCGCAGUGGCUGUUCACAAGCACCAUCCCACUACUGAUCAGCAGGGGAGUUUCGACCUGCUCCAUUGCCAGCCUUGGCUGGUUCACCCCUCCUUAGGCAACCUGCUGGUCCCCUGCUCCCGGGAUGUCACCAUAUUGAUGCUGAACUUCGUGUGGGCACCUGAUUGGCACAGCACACCACAGCCCAGAUCUCCUGCACUCAAGCGAUCCUCCAGCCUCAGCCUCCAGAAUAGCUGGGACUACAGGCAUG